CCUACGGGCGGCAGCAGUAGGGAAUAUUGCUCAAUGGGGGAAACCCUGAAGCAGCAACGCCGCGUGGAGGAUGAAGGUUUUCGGAUUGUAAACUCCUUUUGUUAGAGAAGAUAAUGACGGUAUCUAACGAAUAAGCACCGGCUAACUCCGUACCAGCAGCCGCGGUAAUACGAAGGGUGCAAGCGUUACUCGGAAUCACUGGGCGUAAAGAGCGUGUAGGCGGGAUAGCAAGUCAGAUGUGAAAUCCUAUGGCUUAACCAUAGAACUGCAUUUGAAACUGUUAUUCUAGAGUUUGGGAGAGGUAGGUGGAAUUCUUGGUGUAGGGGUAGAAUCCGUAGAGAUAAAGAAGAAUACUCGUGGCGAAGGCGACCUGCUAGGACAUAACUGACGCUGAUGCGCGAAAGCGUGGGGAGCAAACAGGAUUAGAUACCCGAGUAGUC
rnacentral:rRNA from 1 species